rnacentral:rRNA from 1 species
GACGAACGCUGGCGGCGUGCUUAACACAUGCAAGUCGAACGGAAAGGCCCUGCUUUUGUGGGGUGCUCGAGUGGCGAACGGGUGAGUAACACGUGAGUAACCUGCCCUUGACUUUGGGAUAACUUCAGGAAACUGGGGCUAAUACCGGAUAGGAGCUCCUGCUGCAUGGUGGGGGUUGGAAAGUUUCGGCGGUUGGGGAUGGACUCGCGGCUUAUCAGCUUGUUGGUGGGGUAGUGGCUUACCAAGGCUUUGACGGGUAGCCGGCCUGAGAGGGUGACCGGCCACAUUGGGACUGAGAUACGGCCCAGACUCCUACUGGAGGCAGCAGUGGGGAAUAUUGCACAAUGGGCGGAAGCCUGAUGCAGCAACGCCGCGUGCGGGAUGACGGCCUUCGGGUUGUAAACCGCUUACGCCUGUGACGAAGCGUGAGUGACGGUAAUGGGUAAAGAAGCACCGGCUAACUACGUG